GACGAACGCUGGCGGCGUGCUUAACACAUGCAAGUCGAACGGAAAGGCCCUGCUUUUGUGGGGUGCUCGAGUGGCGAACGGGUGAGUAACACGUGAGUAACCUGCCCUUGACUUUGGGAUAACUUCAGGAAACUGGGGCUAAUACCGGAUAGGAGCUCCUGCUGCAUGGUGGGGGUUGGAAAGUUUCGGCGGUUGGGGAUGGACUCGCGGCUUAUCAGCUUGUUGGUGGGGUAGUGGCUUACCAAGGCUUUGACGGGUAGCCGGCCUGAGAGGGUGACCGGCCACAUUGGGACUGAGGUACGGCCCAGACUCCUACGGGAGGCAGCAGUUGGGAAUAUUGCACAAUGGGCGGAAUCCUGAUGCAGCAACGCCGCGUGCGGGAUGACGGCCUUCGGGUUGUAAACCGCUUUCGCCUGUGACGAAGCGUGAGUGACGGUAAUGGGUAAAGAAGCACCGGCUAACUACGUG
rnacentral:rRNA from 1 species